UACGUAGGUGGCAAGCGUUGUCCGGAUUUAUUGGGCGUAAAGCGAGCGCAGGCGGUUCCUUAAGUCUGAUGUGAAAGCCCACGGCUCAACCGUGGAAGGUCAUUGGAAACUGGGGAACUUGAGUGCAGAAUAGGAGAGUGGAAUUCCAUGUGUAGCGGUGAAAUGCGUAGAUAUAUGGAGGAACACCAGUGGCGAAGGCGACUCUCUGGUCUGUAACUGACGCUGAGGCGCGAAAGCGUGGGGAGCAAACAGGAUUAGA
rnacentral:rRNA from 1 species